GGCAAGAUGGCCGAGCGGUCUAAGGCGCUAGACUCAAGAAAUUCAAUUCUCUCUUACCCUCUCUUAAGGGGUGUAUUCUAGUCUCGAAAGAGGCGGGGGUUCGAAUCCCCCUCUUGUCA